rnacentral:rRNA from 1 species
GCCAGCAGCCGCGGUAAUACGUAGGGGUCAAGCGUUAUCAGGAAUCACUGGGCGUAAAGGGUGCGAAGGCGGCUGAUCAAGCCAGGGCUGAAAGGGUGUGGGUUAAUCCGUGGGAGGCGUUUGAAACUGAUCACCUUGAGUGCAGGAUAGGAGAGCGGAAUUCCUAGUGUAGCGUUCAAAUGGGGACACGUUAUUGAGGAACUCGCUUGGCGAAGGGGGCUUUCUGCACUGUAACAUGACGGCUAAGGCACUAGAGCGUGAGCAGGAACAAGAGGAGAUGACGAGGUAGAUCCCAUUGUAAACGAUGAACACUAUGUGUCGGGAGUCAAUCUCGAGUGCCGCAGCUUACGCAGUAGGUAUUCAGCCGGGGGAGUAGCGCUCGCUUGACUGACAUUUCCCAGGAUUUAACGGAGACC